rnacentral:rRNA from 1 species
AUGGACACGGAGCCGCUGCUCCCCACCACGGCGCCGCAGCCGCUCCACCCGCUGCCGGAGCACGCGACGCUCUCCAACUUCGACCUCGCGCCGCCCUCCUCGCCCUGCCCCUCCCCGGCCUCCUCCUACAAGGACCGCCUCAUCUUCGGGCCCCACGACCCGCCGCCGCCGCCNNNNNNNNNNNNNNNNNNNNNNNNNNNNNNNNNNNNNNNNNNNNNNNNNNNNNNNNNNNNNCACCCCGACCCGUUCCGCGACUACGACCACCCGUCCUGCUCCUCCUCCCCACCCUCCAACGAGGACGGCCAGCCCCAGCCCACCACGCCCUCGCUCUUCAAUUUAAUCAGCGGCCGCACCAACCUCCACCGCUCCCGCACCGCGCCUGCCAUGGCGCCGCUCAGCGCCGCUGUCCUCGCCGCCUCCGCCCAGGCCGACCACCAGAACCCGCCCCCGCCGCCGCGGAGGCCGGCCAUCGUGCUGCACGCCUUCCUCUUCCUGCUCGCCUACCUCGCCCUCGGCGUCUCCUUCUACGCCGCCUUCCCGGCCAACUUCACCUCCUCCGCCGGGCCCACCCACCCCGUCGUCGACGCCCUCUACUUCUGUAUCGUCACGCUCUGCACAAUUGGCUACGGGGACAUCACCCCGGCCAGCCCUGCCGCCAAGCUCUUCGCCAUAUCCUUCGUCCUCAUCGGCUUCGGCUUCGUCGACAUCCUCCUCUCUGGCAUGGUGUCCUAUGUGCUCGACCUCCAAGAGCACCUCCUCAUCACCGCCAUCAAGAACCCCCGCUCUGCACGCAAGCACCGGCACAACUACAUCUUCGACAUCAAGAAGGGCCGAAUGCGCGUGCGCAUGAAGGUCGCCCUCGCGCUUGGUGUGGUGGCCAUCUGCGUCGGCAUUGGGGCCACUGUGCUCAGGAAGGUGGAGAACAUGGGCUGGCUCGAUGCCGUGUACCUUGCAGUGAUGUCGGUGACCACGGUCGGAUACGGCGAUCACGCGUUCCGGACACUGCAGGGCCGCCUUUUUGCCUCUGGGUGGCUCCUCGUGUCCACACUAGCCGUGGCACGGGCAUUCCUCUACUUGGCAGAGAUGAGGAUCGACAAGAGGCACCGUGCCAUGGCCAACUGGGUGCUGUCCAGAGACAUGACCGUGUCAGAGUUUCUCGCUGCAGAUAUCGACAACAAUGGCUAUGUCACGAAAUCGGAAUUUGUGAUUUACAAGCUGAAAGAGAUGGGGAAGAUUUCGGAUAAGGACAUCAAGAUGAUCGUGGAGCAGUUCCAGAGGCUGGACUCUGGAAACUGUGGAAAGAUCACGCUCUCGGAUCUCCUGCAGAGUCACCACCUGGGCCAUGAACCGAGGGACAUGAAAAGGGGGAAGAAUUCAUGA